rnacentral:rRNA from 1 species
UACGUAGGGGGCGAGCGUUGUCCGGAGUUACUGGGCGUAAAGACGCACGCAGGCGGUCUGCUAAGUUUGGAGUGACAGUUGGUGGCUUAACUGCCAAAGUGCUUCGAAAACUGACAGACUUGAGGGCUUCAGAGGGACACGGAAUUCCGGGUGGAGUGGUGAAAUGCGUAGAGAUCCGGAGGAGCACCAAAGGCGAAGGCAGUGUCCUGGGGAGUACCUGACGCUCAGGUGCGAAAGCCAGGGGAGCGAACGGG